ensembl:lncRNA
AUGACCAGGGCACCAGAGGUUAUGCUAACAACCUUUAAGUGCAGAUCCUCUGACUCCAGAGAAGCGGUCGCCCCUGCAGACAUCAGAUGUGAGGAAACAGUCAGACAACAGCGAUUCAGCCUGUUAGGAACCUCCCGAAUGCGUUCCAGCAGAUUGUGGUCAGAUAAACAGUUCUCAGGGCAAAACUUUAAGCAGAGCACGCUCCUCGACGACCUCCUGAGGAGAGAAAAGAGGCGAGGAGAUGGGUUACUGCUUACACCUCCCAGUAUGGAGGCUGUUCUCUCAGUCUCUCCAUCCCGGCAUUGUUUUCAAUUUAGUUGUCUCCGUUCCUCAACGCGGCAGGCAGACAUGCUCUCCAGGGCAAGUAAGCUCACAUUACAUCUUGCUUUUCAAGAUCUUCCCCUGGUUUCAUGUUCUGUUAAGCCACAGGUAAAUGCUCGACACACCGCCGGGGUCCUCGGCAGAACGGCUGACCAGAGGAACAGCGCCCUAGCAAUUAAACAGAGGGAUUCGCACUUGUCUGGUUCUGAGCUCACUUCCAAUCUGGGUUUUGGACACAAGUCAAAGAUAACAGCUGUACACGUUGAGGGAUCAGUGAACCCAGCUGACUCCCUGGCAGCCGGAACACCGUCAGGAACCAGCUCAUAA